AAAUGAAUUGACGGGGACCCGCACAAGCGGUGGAGCAUGUGGUUUAAUUCGAAGCAACGCGAAGAACCUUACCAAAUCUUGACAUCCCAAUGACAAAGUAUGUAAUGUACUCUUUCUUCGGAACAUUGGUGACAGGUGGUGCAUGGUUGUCGUCAGCUCGUGUCGUGAGAUGUUGGGUUAAGUCCCGCAACGAGCGCAACCCUUAUCUUUAGUAGCCAGCAUUUCGGAUGGGCACUCUAGAGAGACUGCCGGGGAUAACCCGGAGGAAGGUGGGGAUGACGUCAAAUCAUCAUGCCCCUUAUGAUUUGGGCUACACACGUGCUACAAUGGCGUAAACAAAGGGAAGCAAUAUCGUGAGGUUGAGCAAAUCCCAAAAAUAACGUCUCAGUUCGGAUUGUAGUCUGCAACUCGACUACAUGAAGCUGGAAUCGCUAGUAAUCGCGAAUCAGAAUGUCGCGGUGAAUACGUUCCCGGGUCUUGCACACACCGCCCGU
rnacentral:rRNA from 1 species